rnacentral:snoRNA from 1 species
AACUCUUGCGUGUGUUUUUGUUUAACAUGUGGACAAGGACUUAUAGGUAAGUGCAAAAAUAAAGCCCCUUUUGCAACCCAGAACUUAUUGUUCAAUAUGAGUUUUGGUACAUAUAAGCAGAAAUUUU